AUUGAACGCUGGCGGCAGGCCUAACACAUGCAAGUCGAGCGGAGCGGCGGACGGGUGAGUAAUUCCUAGGAAUCUGCCUGGUAGUGGGGGAUAAAGUCCGGAUCCGGGCGCUAAUACCGCCUAAUCGCAAAUGAGCCUAAGUCGGAUUAGCUAGUUGGUGGGGUAAAGGCCUACCAAGGCGACGAUCCCUAGCUGGUCUGAGAGGAUGACCAGCCACACUGGAACUGAGAAACGGUCCAGACUCCUACGGGAGGCAGCAGUGGGGAAUAUUGCACAAUGGGCGCAAGCCUGAUGCAGCCAUGCCGCGUGUAUGAAGAAGGCCUUCGGGUUGUAAAGUACUUUCAGCGGGGAGGCGUUACCCGCAGAAGAAGCACCGGCUAACUCCGUGCCAGCAGCCGCGGUAAUAC
rnacentral:rRNA from 1 species